rnacentral:rRNA from 1 species
ACGAAGGGAGCUAGCGUUGUUCGGAAUUACUGGGCGUAAAGGGCGCGUAGGCGGUCCGAUAAGUCAGAUGUGAAAGCCCUGGGCUUAACCCGGGAACUGCGUUUGAUACUAUCGGUCUUGAAUUCGGUAGAGGUUGGUAGAAUUCCCAGUGUAGAGGUGAAAUUCGUAGAGAUUGGGAAGAAUACCCGUGGCGAAGGCGGCCAACUGGACCGACAUUGACGCUGAGGCGCGAAAGCGUGGGGAGCAAACAG